CUGGCUCGUGCGUUGCUUGUUUCAAAGUCUCAAUUUUUUUCAUCUCGGUUUUGGUUUAUUUUUAGUUUUUAUUAGCAAUUAUUCCCUCUAAAAUAAUAACAAUACUUUCUCAGUGAUACUGAAGCAUUGCGGAAAGGUUCAUGGAAUUAUUUCCAGUGUGUUGAGCUUCUGAAUUGUUAAGCUUCUUAGUCCUAUCGUCUAUGGCGUUAUUUUGCUGUGAAGAGAGCAUUUUGGUUGUGAUGGGACAUCGAAUGUUGGAGUAUGGAGUAUACUUGGCAUAUCCUGAUUCACUCUUGUCAUGGACCACAGCUUUCAAGUAUGGUAAUUGACAGGGACGAACCAGAUUGCUGGAGGUACAUGACAACAUUUCUUACAUUGAUGCUGAUAUGAGCUGGACAUCCUAAUGGGACCAGAACCUUCAAGUGCGGCUCUUGACAGCUGGUG